rnacentral:rRNA from 1 species
UACGUAGGUGGCAAGCGUUAUCCGGAAUUAUUGGGCGUAAAGCGAGCGCAGGUGGUUUAUUAAGUCUGGUGUAAAAGGCAGUGGCUCAACCAUUGUAUGCAUUGGAAACUGGUAGACUUGAGUGCAGGAGAGGAGAGUGGAAUUCCAUGUGUAGCGGUGAAAUGCGUAGAUAUAUGGAGGAACACCGGUGGCGAAAGCGGCUCUCUGGCCUGUAACUGACACUGAGGCUCGAAAGCGUGGGGAGCAAAUAGG